rnacentral:other from 2 species
UGCUCCCUGCGAUGUACGUUACGGCUGCGAAUUCUUUGAACCAAUAAAUUUGCUCUGGUUGCAGCAACAUCUGGCGCUGGUGUGCGCGUUACACGUUAAUGUGCCUGAAGCGCUUGCGCUGUGACCACUUGAACCCUAGGUUCAAGAUAGCGGCCCAACGGCAUAGGCGGGGAGCAC